ACGGGUGCGUAACGCGUGGGAAUCUGCCCUUGGGUUCGGAAUAACAGUUAGAAAUGACUGCUAAUACCGGAUGAUGUCUUCGGACCAAAGAUUUAUCGCCCAAGGAUGAGCCCGCGUAAGAUUAGCUAGUUGGUGGGGUAAUGGCCCACCAAGGCGACGAUCUUUAGCUGGUCUGAGAGGAUGAUCAGCCACACUGGGACUGAGACACGGCCUAGACUCCUACGGGAGGCAGCAGUGGGGAAUAUUGGACAAUGGGCGAAAGCCUGAUCCAGCAAUGCCGCGUGAGUGAUGAAGGCCUUAGGGUUGUAAAGCUCUUUUACCAGGGAUGAUAAUGACAGUACCUGGAGAAUAAGCUCCGGCUAACUCCGUGCCAGCAGCCGCGGUAAUACGGAGGGAGCUAGCGUUGUUCGGAAUUACUGGGCGUAAAGCGUACGUAGGCGGUUAUUCAAGUCAGAGGUGAAAGCCCGGGGCUCAACCCCGGAACGGCCUUUGAAACUAGAUAGCUAGAGUCUUGGAGAGGUUAGUGGAAUUCCGAGUGUAGAGGUGAAAUUCGUAGA
rnacentral:rRNA from 1 species